UAACAUUGGAAAAACAAAAAAUUAAUGUAAAAGAAACAAACCGACAAAUAAUAUUAUAAAUAAAAUAAAUUUAUAAGACACAAUCCGCGCGAAGCGCGGAAAAAAUCUCUAGUAUAUAUAAAAAGGGAAGAUGUUGGUAUCCCUCCAGGAUAUCCACGUGGAAAGUAUUUUUUUAUAGGGGCGACACAUGUCCUUAUCUCUACACAAACCGUGCUUAAUUUUGUCUAUUCUUUUGGGCUUCGGUUAAAAGGCCCGUUCUCUGGUAGAAGAGUGGCCUUAAGUCGCGUUUUCAUCGUCGCCUCUGCACUGGCUUUACGUUUCCGGUACCUUCUGCAGAGAAACGGUUCAACCUCCACGAUGUGUCUUAGAUGUGAUCCUUGCGUCACAGAGGCGGUGGGUUUUUUGUGUAUAAAUAACCCUAAUCUGAUUUCGCGAUGUCAUGUGUGUUCUUGAGUCUUCUUCGUACGACGGCGUCGGUGACUCCAGACCUUCUUCACGUUUCUGAAACGGAUUGCAUAAUUGUUUGAGAGGAAUCUUCUUCAAGCUACGGAGAGACCCAAAUUUUCAGUUUUUUGAACCAAUGGAAUUCCCUCCGCCAUGUAGAGAUGGAAACGACUCCAUAACUUCUUCUGCCUUAUCUCCGAUGGGGUCAGCAGAGAUUCAUCAGUUGCGUCAAACUACCGUCUUCCUUUAUUUCUUCUUCGCAUAGAAGAGCUCUGCUGAGGAAGGAGAGUGAGAUUUCAGAAUGGGGCAGGAGGAUUCGUGAAUUGGGGACUCGAUUAUCAGAGGAGGCAGAGAGAUUGCAGGCAGCUUCUGUGGAGUUUUCAAAUUUGCAGAGAGUCAGGCAAGCAUCAGUAGCUUUGAACGUUUGGCAGCCAGAGGUUGUUUGUGGCAGACAGAAACAAAUGGUUGAGCAAAGCGCUGUUCCUGUGAGUGCUCUUGAGAUGGAGUCUCCAUCAUGGAGAUUAUGUUAUGCAAACAGCAAAUCACGGGUGUGAAUAGGGCACGUGUAAUUGACUCCUUUCUCCUCCUUGCUGGCGUGAAAGCCUGGAGCUUUAGUACCACAAUCGAAGUUCAUCUACUCAGUUUUUGGGAGGCAGAGCUGCUUACGCAAGCGCCAGCACCGGCUGAGGAAUGUAAAGAGAGGCGGUGAGCUGACAUGCUCCUCCACUAAGUCAAACAUUUGCUGUAAACGUUUUCAAGCGCCUCUUAUGCAUGCCACGGUCGACGUCCACCGUUUGAAUACCUUCGUACAUCUUUUCAAGACUGGUUCGAUGUACGCGGUGAACGUUUGACGCGGAUAAACCUUAACUUCAAAUUGUCCAACUCUCCUUUGUCAAUAUGUUUCAGUGACUUAACCGCCUUCGCCAAAAUAACAGAACCGGUGAACCCGAUACCUCAAGUCAAGAGCUGUUUCAGUUCCGCGAUUCUGAACAGCUGCUAGGCUGCGAAAACACCAACACAUCUUCCAGACAUUAUUGGUGAAUUAACCGCUAUUAGGGGUGCUGUUGAUGACUCCUCACAAGGCAAAGAAUCAUGAUGUAUCUAUUUCCUUGAGCUGCUGCCUUUCAUAAACAAUAGUCAGACUUACAUGUUGACCUUAAAGUUAUUGUUGCAACGAGAAAAAAAAAACAAAGAUUUAAAUGGCGGCCCUGGAGAUGUUGUGCCUGGAGUUAGCACCUUUCCAGCCAUGAUCAAUGUCAUGGUGAUGACAAUUAAUGAGAAAGAGCCAGCUAUUGAAACAACCUAAGGUGGUCUAUCAGCCACAAACUCUCUGUUCCCUACGUCUUCCAAGGCACAUAAGAAGGCACACAUUGCAUAGUUGGAGGAGGGUGCAGUUUCUUAGUCACAGACUCACGGAAGCAGCUACUAGAAUAAUGCUUAAGCAUAGUUUUUUUUUUUUUUUUGGUAAAACUUCAUCUGCUGUUGACAGUACAGUACCCUUAAAACUAUAAAAGACUAUUGUAUUUGGAUUUCCUCAUAUUUAACCAUAUGUCAAUGAGAGAAUAACGGUGCUGCAAUAUGUUAUCCGUAAUAUUUGUCGACAUGGUAGUUACUAUAAUGAUCAAACCUGUUUGUUAUUUUUUUA